GGAUAAAUGAAAGUCCUUGGAAACUUCAAACUGUUUCACAGAAACUAAAAAGAAAAUGCAUUUUCAAAGGAUGAGAUUCAAGGUUAAGGUCCUUUUCCUCCAUUUGGCUAAAGAUGUCCUGCAUUGAAGGAUCCACUACAUCACCAUCAAGCAUACAGAUAUCCGGUACAUGCAGACGCAGUCCGGACAGAGUGGAUACAGGCUGAUCUUACAUUUCUUGAACAUUUUUCAUCUGAUUGUGAUAAUUGUCAGGGGAACAAUGAAAACACAGGCUUCAUGUUUCACUGUAAUCCACCUGGAAUGUGCGCUGACAUGUGCUUGAUUGGACCAGACAGUGACUCGUCAACUGAUUUGAUGUUGCGCUGCAGAGGAUCAGGUUCAACUUUUUCAGGACCUACCCCAUAAUUUGGCAUUGCGUGUUUUUCAAACCGUUCGCACUUCCUCACAAUCAUUCUAAUUUAUGUUCCCCAGUCGACUGCAAACACAUCCAAGGCGCACGCGUGCCCUUAUUAUAAAGUCAUGCCUGUGUCUUCUUCCCGAGGAACGACGGCCCAUCCUCACGCUGAGGCUGCAUCUGCAUCUGCAGCUGGACGGAAAGAAGGCCUGUGACUGCGCACACGUGUGUCUUUCUCAUUGUGCCCAGUCCAGAGUGAUUGAUUCUGAAGUGUAGAAUCUUGACAGAGUGUUCGGUCGUCCCAGGAGGCACCAGACCAUGGGGCCGAAACCGUCGAGGAGCCUUCACUUUCGCGCUCCCUCUUUUUUCACUUUUGACUUUCUCUCUCUCCCCAUCCUCCCACAUCUGCCUCCUCUCAUUCUCCGCAUCCAUCAGCCCUUCAAUGGAACCUGCUCUCCCUCCCUGCUAUUCCGACCCUCCUCUCUGAUGGGUUUAUUGAUAUGUAACACAGAUAUUUAUUGCUGGCUAAAAUGAGCCGCCAGCUUGCAGGUGGUCGGCAGGGAUUCCUUAUGUGGGUCAAUGAGACACAGACAUGCCUGGUGAUUUGCUUUGGGGGAAACCGCAGCUGCUGUUGGCUUAUACCUCUGAGCUGUGCCCUGUAUCAAACGCGCAUCCAUAGGACGAGGGAAGAAAACAGCAGACCUGUGAAAUGGAAAAGUCUCAGGGAACAUCACAGAUUUUCAAUAUUACUAAAUUAGAAUAUAGCUCAUGCUCACUCUCCACAGACAGGUCACAAUGUGUGUGUGUGUGUGUGUGUGUGUGUGUGUGUGUGUGUGUGUGUGUGUGUGUGUGUGUGUGUGUGUGUGUGUGUGUGUGUGUGUGUGUGUGUGUGUGUGUGUGUGUAUAGUGUCUGUAUGUUAGUGCAGAAAUUUUAAUAGGGAAAUGAAAAAGUAAAUCCAAACAUGCUGCCCACAAAUUUGUGACUUUUCAGUGUUUCAAACUAAAUAAAAAAAUUUCAUUUGUAACAAAGUUCGCAAAAAUGUCUUUCGAGUCGAUCUUUUUACAGUACACAAGUAUUUGGUAAAGCGUUCCCACCAUCUUGGAUCCCGGUGAACCGGUUCGAUUCAGCCGUCUCACGUCUCGUGUCUCCAACCUGCUGGUUGUCUACGAGUAACAACACAGACGCUGUGUUCGUCUCUGCUCCGCUAUUAGUGAUGUUGUGUCACCCACUCCUGGGGCUCCGGCUUUGUUUUCCCAUCAUGCCCUCGCUGCCUGCUGGUUGGUUUAAACAAGCACUAUUCUUCUUCUACAGCCUUUCAAUUAUACCAUGCCCCGCAGCAGCACCCCGCACCCUCCACGCACACCGAGACAGGAGUUAAGAGAGUAGGAGGAUUGAUUUGAAUUUGGCAUUUAAUGGAUGUCUUGGUUUUUCAAGAUUGCUUGGUUUGACCUUUUUACGUUUUCUUUUUUUUAAGAUUUUCUUUUUUUAUUUUUUAGGUGUGCCACACCUAAAAUUUUGAAGCUAAGCCCUGAAGGAAGACCUGAGGUCAAGUCAAGUGAGUUCUUCGGUGAGCGCCUUUGCUGUAGUGAAAAGAAAUCACUAAAGAGUUCACGCGUCAACAUUUCUUCACAGCAUUAGGAUCAUCCCCAAAUAGGCCACAGCAAGUUUUGCCUUUCCACGUCUUGUGGCUCAGAGUCCCACGGCAGCUAGACACGGGUCAAGUUCUCCUAUUGAAAGGGUGAGAUGGAGGCUGAAACCCUGCAACCACAAAAGCUCACUGUCUAGACAAGGCCCCACAGUCCUGACCCCUGUUGGACCCCGUCCCCUCAGGGGCCUAUAAUACCUUUGUUUCCAUGUUGAUAAAUUCUAUUUCCUGUCGGACAAGAACCACAACAAAUAGUGCGACAUCCAAACUUUAAAACUUGGACUACAGGCAUGUGAGUAGUACAGACUCCUACAGGCACAUGAAUGACUUGUUCACUUAUUGUUUGUUAAAAAAAUAAUCCACAUCUUGCACCUAAAUUAUUCGAAGGAAUUUGUUGCAGUAAGUGCUGAUGCUUGGAAAUAAAUAAUCCCGUGUUUUUAAGUUCUUCCUUAGCUUGCUUCCCUGCGGUUUCCUGAGUAUAUUUGUCUGAGCGACUUAUGUCUGGUGAUAUGUUGACAGAGGGUCCUCGGUUCCCAUAGACGCGCGUCUGGAUUUUGGGCCUGGGUGGCGCAGUCUAUUAUCAUCUAGUCAGGCAGCAUAAAUUAACACACAGCCCUAGACAAAGUACACAAGAGCAGGCCACUUCUCGCGGCCCACGAGGGACCAGGAUCCGCGGGCCUCGCGGUGUCCAUUUUAGCACACGGCCUGGACGUGGCUGGAUGUUAUGCUAAUCAGCUAGUGUUUGCACAUCCGCGUCUGCGACGCUCUCGGCGCCGACCGAUCGGACCGGGAGGAAGUCACGAAGGCGAGGAUUUAGCCGCAACAAGGAAAGGGGGAGAGCGUUGGGAAAGGAGCGAAGAUGCCGCGGCAACAAUAGUGCAUAAAGAAAUCAGCCAAAACAUGUCAUCAUUCAAAGCGAGUGGAGAUGAACUGUUAUUGCAUCAUCCGCAGUUAACAGUCUUCCCACACCGGCUGUCACACUCACUCACGCCACACAAUCACUUGUUUCACAGAGAGUUCCCAGACAGAAUUAAACCCACUUCAUAUUUAAUUCAAGACUAAAGCAAAAUAUAAUAAUAAAAGCCAUAACGUGAAAGGUAAUUAGAGGGAAUGUUCGGCGUAUUCAAGUCUUUUUUUUAAGUAAUUUCUCUUUAAUAACAGACUGUCAUGUGCGUUUUCUGUCAGCGAGUUCCAGGCGAGUGUCACCCAUUUCAAGACAUCAUGCGAGAAACUCCACUUCUUGUUCUUUGUCCUCCAUUUUCUGCCACUGUGCCAGCUCACAGCCUGGAGCUGAAAUGUAGCAGCACGGGUUCUCGCUCGCUCGCUCCCAUUGUUCCUAGCGACUGCUUGUCCUCCCCACUCCAUCUUCUGCCUCCCCACAGAGAGCCAUGAAGUGUCUGAGUCAUCCUCGAUUACAGUAUGUAUUUAUAGACAGAGGAGUCAGGACCUAGGCCUUGUGUGCAUGCGUGUGUGUGUGUGUGUGUGUGUGUGUGUGUGUGUGUGUGUGUGUGUGUGUGUGUGUGUGUGUGUGUGUGUGUGUGUGUGUGUGUGUGUGGAGGAAGGGGGAGGAUUCCAACUCUCACUGCCUGAAACUCCGAUGGCCCGGGCUCCUAUGACUCACCUCAGCUCCGGGAUGCUGCCACCAGGAGAGCUGACAUCACCUGUCCUCACACUGAAAGUUACCGCUCGCGGUGACCUCACUCUGACCGGGGAUCGGGAGGAAAAGUGCCGGAGACUGUCUGUCAGACAUGAGAAGAAAAUCUGAAAAUAUAAACGAAGAUUCAUCUUUGGAGCUCCAGGUGGAAACUGAGGAUAAAGCAAAACAAAAUGCCUGAAAAUAAAAGGCUUGAGUCUUUCAGUCUCAAGGGAGGAAUGAUCAAUACACAUUAACAGGCCAGUUGAUAAGACACGUAUUACAGGUCAGGAGUCAAAUGCUGGUCAAACACCCCUGACCCGGGGUCAAAGUCUUUAGCCUGAACAUGCCGCCACAGUGCAAUCGCAUAUGUGUCAAAUGUGGACUGAGAAAAGGCAGCACCUCCAACUGGAGAAGAAGAUUCACAAUCAAAUAAAGCAAGUGGAACUUUUAUUUAUUUUCAAGACAUGUUGUUUAUGAAUAAUCAGCAACAAUCAAUUUCACACUAUGUAUUAAUGCAGUAUUAAUGCAGUACAAUGUUUUUUUUUUCUUUACCAAUAAAUGUUUCAGUGCUUUCAAGGUACUAAUUUACUCUGAAGGUUAAAACGUAUUACAGUUUGUCAUUUUAAAGCGUGACGCUCACACACGCAUACACACACACACACACACACACACACACACACACACACACACACACACACACACACACACACACACACACACACACA